GUGUCAGCAGCCGCGGUAAUACGUAGGUGGCAAGCGUUGUCCGGAUUUAUUGGGUUUAAAGGGUGCGUAGGCGGCCCUGUAAGUCAGUGCUGAAAUAUCCCGGCUUAACCGGGAGGGUGGCAUUGAUACUGCGGGGCUAGAGUACAGAUGAGGUAGGCGGAAUUGACGGUGUAGCGGUGAAAUGCUUAGAUAUCGUCAAGAACACCUAUAGCGAAGGCAGCUUACUAGGCUGUAACUGACGCUGAGGCACGAAAGUGUGGGGAUCAAACAGGAUUAGAAACCCCCGUAGUCC
rnacentral:rRNA from 1 species